rnacentral:lncRNA from 1 species
AAAAGCAUCUGCAGAAGUCACUACCCAUCAAUGUUACACUGCUAAGAGAAGAGCUGACAUAGUCACCAGUGAUGUAUAUUCAGCUGGGCAAGGAGUGAUGAAAAAGAUGUUUGAAGCCGAGACAAGCUAGCACAUUUAACCAGGUCUGGUCCAGGAUGUCUGGCUGCCUGAGGCAAAGACAAGAGAGCAUCCCUUCGUGUUUCAUGUACAGGAGCAAAAUGGACUGGCCGGUGACUCUUACUUCAGUGCUAGUGGUGGGUUGGUUUCCUCCACUGGAUAUGAGGCAGCGGACUAGUUCAGUACACAGUGGUGUCCUCUAACAGUGGUGGAUAAUUGGUGGAACACUAUUGACAGUUGGGAGCUGUUGAUCCUUCUUGAUAGGGUCACUUCAUUUUACAGCUGGUAGGGCUGGCCUUCCUUUCAAUACCUGCUAUAUUUGGAAUAAUGCAUUAUUUUAAUACAGUGGACCCUCGACUUACAGACGGCUCGACUUACAGACUUUUCGAGUUACAGACUCCUCUGGCUGCAAAAUUUAGAUUCGACUUGCAGCCGGAGAAUCGACUUACAGACCAGAAAAAACCCCAAAUGGAACAAAAAUAGAAUAAAAAUCGUGGUUAUGGGAUUAAUCGGUUUUCAGUGCAUUGUAGGUCAAUGGAGAUUCGACCUACAGACUUUUCGACUUGCAGCCACCAUUCCAAUAUGGAUUAAUUCCUUAAGUAGAGGGUCCACUGUACAACAAAAUAUGAAACACAGGGAUGAAAUCUGCAACACACUCUGGAAGAUAUGACUUUGCUAUUAGGAAGCCAUUUAAUGAAGAGGGAAAGCGGCAUGCUCUUCAAUUCUCUUUCCAGCUACUACAUGCUCUUUAUUAAGGAGAAUAUUAAAUUAGAUGGGAACAUCUAGUUCCUAAAAUUAAAUUUCCCCCAGAGCUAGUGUCAGAUAAAAGCUAGUCCAUCCAAAGUUAAUCAGUUUGUUAGUGUUAGAUUCAUUUGGAGCUGCACACAUCAGAACAAUUUUGUGGAAGAGCCUUUGCAGUACAGUAAUUUACAAUGUUACUAAGAGCCAAUUGAAGCCGUUGAUAUCUGAUUACCAUGGGGAGGGGAGUGGUCUUGGAGACAAUGGUAGCACAAGAUGUGCAAAAAGGUACUAGUGAUGGGGAAUGGACCGGCUCACCUAGCUUGUGGCUUGUUUUGUAAGCAACAGUUUCCCUAAAUUCUCUUCUUGAAUCAAGAAGGUUGUUUCCCUGAAUUUCCUAUGGAGGAAGAAAAACUAUCUAACAGUUUCUUGAUGAUGGUCCUCAAGGAAUAUAGUUUUUUCUCCCUUCUCUCUUCUUGUACUGCUGCUGCCUCUAUUACUACAAGAAGCAGGAGCAAAAAAGGGCUAGUGUGGUGUUCUAGUUAGUGCGGUCCAUAAGAAUUUCAACCAUUGUCAUGUAAUCCAAUAAAACCUGCAUCCCCUUCA